GGCUCCAUAGCGUAGUGGUUAGCACAUCUGCUUUGCAUGCAGAAGGUCCUGCGUUCAUGCCCCAGGCUGAGCCA
rnacentral:tRNA from 1 species